GGACAAGGCUGCAAAAUUUUACGGGCUUUAAGAUGUUGCACAAAUUCAAGAUCUUGAAGCCACUGAGGCUUCAACCACAGCAAAACCACCUUUUCUUCGGUGGAGGAUACUGAGGGUAACUUUCAUUGUUGAAGACAGGUUCAUUUCUUUGUUGAGGAACCUUAUUGGCAGCAGUUCCAGUGAUCUUCUUCUCAUUUCUAGCCUUGUUAAAUAUGACUGUAAAUCCUUCUGCAGAUGCAGGAUUAUUUACAUCCCAUUCGCCAAACUUUGGCAAUGGACGACCCCUGUCCUGCGAUGCCAUGAAUGCAGGACGAAAGGGCCGGGGAUCGGAUAGGAGAAGACCAAAAACGGAAAGAAAC
rnacentral:misc_RNA from 1 species